GAUGAACGCUAGCGGCAGGCUUAGCACAUGCAAGUCGAGGGGUAUAGUUCUUCGGAGCUAGAGACCGGCGCACGGGUGCGUAACGCGUAUGCAAUCUACCUUUUGCAGGGGGAUAGCCCAGAGAAAUUUGGAUUAAUACCUCAUGGUAUGUGAGAAUGGCAUCAUUUUCACAUUAAAGUCACAACGGCAAAAGAUGAGCAUGCGUCCCAUUAGCUAGUUGGUAAGGUAACGGCUUACCAAGGCAACGAUGGGUAGGGGUCCUGAGAGGGAGAUCCCCCACACUGGUACUGAGACACGGACCAGACUCCUACGGGAGGCAGCAGUGAGGAAUAUUGGACAAUGGGCACAAGCCUGAUCCAGCCAUGCCGCGUGCAGGAUGACGGUCCUAUGGAUUGUAAACUGCUUUUGUACAGGAAGAAACACUGGUUCGUGAACCAGCUUGACGGUACUGUAAGAAUAAGGAUCGGCUAACUCCGUGCCAGCCGCCGCAGUAAAAC
rnacentral:rRNA from 1 species